UAUCGAUCGCCAUAUCUAAUGCUCUGUUGGAGCAUUCCUGCCGCCGCCUCCUCCACUUGGGCUGGCCACUGCAUAACACAGGAAGGCUUGUUUAACCUUGCCCUGCAUUUAAGUGAAGUCGGUGCAUUCUUCUUGAUAUCAAAGUUGUGGGCUGACAUGAAGUUGGGCAUGCUUAAAGGCUGAAGAUCGUCACUUCAGUCUUCAUUGUAUCUGUGGUUUUAUAAAGAAUUUGGAUAUUGACAUGGAUAAGGAAGGAGACGAGCAAAAAACAAAAAAGAGAAAAGUGGUAGUUGCAAAUUAUAUGGUAACAGUAGCCACAUUAGUAGUUUGGUGGCAUGAGAAACAUAUAGUAAAGGAGCCUUACUUGGAUUUUAAAGUAGCACGUGAAAUAUAUCUAAGGCAUCUUUA